rnacentral:ncRNA from 1 species
UUUCUGUUUUAUAGCCGUACUACCAUGGAAGUCUUUCGCAGAGAGAUAUGGUAGAUGGGCUAGAAGAGCAUGACAUAUACUGUUGUGUCGAUAUUUUCUCCUCGGACCUUGAAAAUUUAUGGUGGGGACACGCAAACUUCUCAACAGGCCGUACCAAUAUCCGCAGCUGGUCUCCAAGGUGAAGAGUCUCUAGUCGAUAGAAUAAUGUAGGUAAGGGAAGUCGGCAAAUUAGAUCCGUAACUUCGGGAUAAGGAUUGGCUCUGAAGAUUGAGAUAGUCGGGCUUGAUUGGGAAACAAUAACAUGGUUUAUGUGCUCGUUCUGGGUAAAUAGAGUUUCUAGCAUUUAUGUUAGUUACUUGUUCCCCGGAUAGUUUAGUUACGUAGCCAAUUGUGGAACUUUCUUGCUAAAAUUUUUAAGAAUACUAUUUGGGUUAAACCAAUUAGUUCUUAUCAAUUAUAACGAUUAUCAAUUAACAAUCAAUUCAGAACUGGCACGGACUUGGGGAAUCCGACUGUCUAAUUAAAACAAAGCAUUGUGAUGGCCCUAGCGGGUGUUGACACAAUGUGAUUUCUGCCCAGUGCUCUGAAUGUCAAAGUGAAGAAAUUCAAGUAAGCGCGGGUCAACGGCGGGAGUAACUAUGACUCUCUUAAGGGGAUCUGGGGUAAUUGCGAGCAGAGGGGGAGUAUUUUUCUGUAAUUCGUAAGUCAUAUCAUAUGGUGUGCGGAAGGGGAAUUUUACUCUGUAACUCACAAGUCUCUCCUUUACUCAAGUCGACUCAAAACCUCCUCGUGGUGGUCCCCGGU